rnacentral:rRNA from 1 species
CAGCACCUCAAGUGGUCAGGAUGAUUAUUGGUCCUAAAGCAUCCGUAGCCGGCGCUGUAAGUUUUCGGUUAAAUCUGUACGCUCAACGUACAGGCUGCCGGGAAUACUGCAGCGCUAGGGAGUGGGAGAGGUAGACGGUACUCGGUAGGAAGGGGUAAAAUCCUUUGAUCUAUUGAUGACCACCUGUGGCGAAGGCGGUCUACCAGAACACGUCCGACGGUGAGGGAUGAAAGCUGGGGGAGCAAACCGGAUUAGAUACCCGAGUAGUCC